rnacentral:rRNA from 1 species
UACGUAGGGUCCGAGCGUUGUCCGGAGUUACUGGGCGUAAAGCGCGCGCAGGCGGCUCGUCAAGUCUGGCGUGAAAGCCCCCGGCUCAACCGGGGAGGGUCGUCGGAGACUGGCGAGCUUGAGGGCGGUAGGGGCUGGUGGAAUUCCCGGUGUAGUGGUGAAAUGCGUAGAGAUCGGGAGGAACACCCGUGGCGAAGGCGGCCAGCUGGGCCGUCCCUGACGCUGAGGCGCGAAGGCGUGGGGAGCGAACAGG